rnacentral:rRNA from 1 species
AUUGAACGCUGGCGGCAGGCCUAACACAUGCAAGUCGCGCGAGCGGCGGACGUGUGAGCAAUGUAUGUGGAUCUGCCUGAUGGAGGGGGAUAACUACUGGGAACGGUAGCUAAUACCGCAUACCAUCAGAUGAACCAAGUUGGGAUAAUCUCGUAGGUAAGGUAACGGCUUACCUAGGCGACUAUCCCUAGCUGGUCUGAGAGGAUGAUCAGCCACACUGGAACUGAGACACGGUCCAGACUCCUACGGUAGGCAGCAGUGGGGAAUAUUGCACAAUGGGCGGAAGCCGGAUGCAGCCAUGCCGCGUGUAUGAAGAAGGUCUGCGGGUUGUAAAGUACUUUCAGUCGGGAGGCGUUACCGACAGAAGAAGCACAGGCUAACUCCGUGCCAGCAGACGCGGUAAUAC